UGACAGUUGCCGUUCACCCGAGAAGGUCUUCCGUGGAUCGGGUAGGGAUGAAGGCACUCGCGAGUAGGAUCCAAAACAUAAAUACCGAAAAGCUCGGGUUUUCUAGAUUAAUAAGGUUGAUUGUCGACCUCUUGCUCGGCGUGUUAGCAGGAGUCAACGGAGUUCUAUCCUGACUACGCUAGAGAGCAGUUAGUGCGCGCCCUGAUUAAAAUGGGUUGACGGUGAAAGAACCACUUUUGGACGAAUGAAAACUGUGGUUAUUCGCCAGGAUCAAAGACGCCAUUGUGUUCCUCGGCGCGAUCAGGAUUGAAUAACCAACAAUAGAACUGGUGUUGUAGAAAGUCUCCGUGGCUAAGCAAUCUGGAAAUAUACUAUACCACAUCCAUCCAAGGGAAACAGUCGCACCUCCACUCUCAGCAGUCGAGAGAGGUGCGUGUUGUCUGUCGGUGCUCUGCAGAUUGAAGAGAGGUUUAUUGCACGGUUGGAAGGAGACUGCAUGAACCAGAAACAGAAUUGAAAUCAUCGUACCACUCGCACCGCAGAUAUCACGUCAUCGCCACCCACCCUGAUCCGUCGCCGUGAGCCACAUAAACCUUAUAAACUUCAUAAAACCGCAAGUAGAAGCAUGUGACGUCACAUUUAGAUUUAAAAUAAGUAUACAGAAGAACCUUAUAUAGGAUAGUUAACUUAUUCCAAAAGAUUAUUAUAUUGUUGUUUGUUGUUCCAAGUAAAGAUGUUAAUAAUGAGAAUAGUUUGAAACCGUUCAUGGUGUUGAAAAAUCACUACAUUUCACUAUUUGUUGCGUUUUUCGGACACGAAAGGUGUCUUCAUGCCUCCCUCACUGUGCGGUUCGGCAUAGAACAGUUGACCCUGUGGCCUUUGAGCAUUAGAAACCUUAAUCCGCUCGCAGUUUCAACCUCCUUGUUCGGAUCAGGAUUGUUGCCAGAUCCUAUGUGAAUUACAUCUGACAGAAUAAUAUGGAUAAGUGUGAGUGAUGUACCUUUGUUCUUAUUUACGACCCUGUAGAUCCUAGUUUCCACUGAGCAGUAGGCGAAGGGUUAUAAAACCGUGAGUACCUUGAACAUUGCUCCGUUUUAUAGAAUUCCAUUUAUCCAUAUAGAAUUCAUACAUAAUUAGGACAUCAUAUUUUGUUUACCAAUAGUAAUACACAUCGCCUACCACUCCACCUGGAUAUAUAUCUCGUUGGUUCCAUCUGCUCAUCCGUCUAAGCCAGAAAUAAAAACAUUAUUUAUAUUUCUCGUUCUAUCACUCACCAGUCGGAGAAUUUGAUUGAAUUAAUUCUCCUAUCCAGCGAAUCUUGUAUGGCAGGAUCGCCAAUGUGAUAUUCCGACAUACAAGACACACAGCACUAUUAAAUGCUCAAAAACCAAUAUAUAUUAUCAUCUCAAUGUAGAAUUCAACACACUCUAAUAGCUGAUUUACACAUUGACCAGUAAUUGGCGCCAGUUACUUGAACGUCAACGGCACGCCAUAUUUAGAUCACCAGUUGACUGGUGCUGUGCGUUCAUACACAUUUUCAGCAACUGGACACCUUGGUUGUCACUUUAUCCUCGAUGACGAAUGACAGUGUCGACGUCUGGUGGCGAUAACCAUAUUGGGAGGCAAAUUAAUCUUUAUCGGUUUUGAAGGCCCGGAGGCAGUUUUAAAUUGUCAAAAUUUGAAUGAAAAAUUUUACUUCUUGUUAAUUUACUAAUUAAAACACGUCGUACUGAACCUUCAUCAGCUGUUUUUAUAUAAAUUUCCUGAUAUUUCCAUGAUUUCAUUGUCUAUUAUUAUUUUCGCUUCACAAAUCGAACACAUGAGCACAAUGCCGUCAACGCGAAUGAAGAUUCUUCCAUGUAUACGUUGAGGGAAUUGAAUUUGAUGUUCCUUGUACCAUCGAACCAUCCAGUGUUGGCAAAUGUACAAAUUUAUCCGGAAAGGUAUAUUUUUUCAGUUUUGUUUGUUUUGUUCUGUACGGUAAGAACACAGAUUUUUCUCAUAAAGCACCGAUAGGAACUGUAUUUAAACGGUUUUAUUUAGCUUACCCUGUAAUUUGUAUGUUUGUAUGUUUGUACGUUUAUAUGUUUGCAACAUGUUUGUCUGUAGCGCUUUACCACAUGAAUAGAAAUUUGAGCCCCUUCCUGUUGACCGAUUGAUCUGAAAUUUGGAACACACCUUUAUCU